AUCUUUUGAGUAUGAAAAGUACGUUUGCCUUCCAAGCAAAAGGUUUAAAUUGUUUAAAAAAGAUA
rnacentral:tRNA from 1 species